UACGGAGGGUGCGAGCGUUAAUCGGAAUCACUGGGCGUAAAGCGCGCGUAGGCGGUGGGAUGAGUCAGAUGUGAAAGCCCUGGGCUCAACCUGGGAAUUGCAUUUGAUACUGUCCGGCUGGAGUCUGGUAGAGGAGGGUAGAAUUCCCGGUGUAGCGGUGAAAUGCGUAGAGAUCGGGAGGAAUAUCAGUGGCGAAGGCGGCCCUCUGGACCAAGACUGACGCUGAGGUGCGAAAGCGUGGGGAGCAAACAGG
rnacentral:rRNA from 1 species